rnacentral:rRNA from 1 species
AGUGAACGCUGGCGGUAGGCCUAACACAUGCAAGUCGAACGGCAGCACAGUAAGAGCUUGCUCUUACGGGUGGCGAGUGGCGGACGGGUGAGGAAUACAUCGGAAUCUGCUUUUUCGUGGGGGAUAACGUAGGGAAACUUACGCUAAUACCGCAUACGACCUACGGGUGAAAGCAGGGGAUCUUCGGACCUUGCGCGAUUGAAUGAGCCGAUGUCGGAUUAGCUAGUUGGCGGGGUAAAGGCCCACCAAGGCGACGAUCCGUAGCUGGUCUGAGAGGAUGAUCAGCCACACUGGAACUGAGACACGGUCCAGACUCCUACGGGAGGCAGCAGUGGGGAAUAUUGGACAAAGGGCGCAAGCCUGAUCCAGCCAUACCGCGUGGGUGAAGAAGGCCUUCGGGUUGUAAAGCCCUUUUGUUGGGAAAGAAAAGCAGCAGGUUAAUACCCCGCUGUUCUGACGGUACCCAAAGAAUAAGCACCGGCUAACUUCGUG